UACAGAGGGGGCAAGCGUUGUUCGGAAUUACUGGGCGUAAAGGGCGCGUAGGCGGCCUGUUAAGUCGAACGUGAAAUCCCCGGGCUCAACCCGGGAACUGCGUCCGAUACUGGCAGGCUUGAAUUCGGGAGAGGGAUGUGGAAUUCCAGGUGUAGCGGUGAAAUGCGUAGAUAUCUGGAGGAACACCGGUGGCGAAGGCGGCAUCCUGGACCGAUAUUGACGCUUAUGCGCGAAAGCCAGGGGAGCAAACGGG
rnacentral:rRNA from 1 species